rnacentral:rRNA from 1 species
GCUUAACACAUGCAAGUCGUACGCGCAGUUUUCUGUAGCAAUACAGGAGAUGGGCGCGUGGCGAACGGGUGCGUAACACGUGGGUAACCUUCCCUUAUGUGGGGGAUAACCCGCCGAAAGGCGGGCUAAUACCGCAUAAUAUUCCGAUGGCUUCGGCUGACGGAAUCAAAGCCUGCAAAGGCGCAAGAGGAGGGGCCCGCGGCCGAUUAGCUAGUUGGCGAGGUAAUGGCUCACCAAGGCAAUGAUCGGUAGCCGGUCUGAGAGGAUGGCCGGCCACACUGGAACUGAGACACGGUCCAGAACUCCUACGGGAGGCAGCAGUGGGGAAUCUUGCGCAAUGGGCGAAAGCCUGACGCAGCAACGCCGCGUGGGGGAUGAAGCUUUUCGGAGUGUAAACCCCUUUCGACCCGGAAGAAUGCCCGCAAGGGUUUGACGGUACGGGUAUAAGAAGCCCCGGCUAACUACGUGCCAGCAGCCGCGGUAAU